rnacentral:SRP_RNA from 1 species
GCCGGGUGCAGUGGCGCGCGCCUGUAAUCCAAGCUGCUGGGAGGCUGAGGCUGGCGGAUCGCUUGAGUUCAGGGGUUCUGGGCUGCAGUGGACUAUGCCGAUCGGGUGUCCGCGCUAAGUUCGGUAUCGAUAUGGUGCUCCUGGGGGAGCUCGGGACCACCAGGUCGUCGUAAGGAGGGGUGCACCGGCCCAGGUCGGAGACGGAGCAGGUCAAAGCCCCCGUGCCGAUCAGUAGUGGGAUCGCGCCUGUGAAUAGACACUGCAGUGCAGCCUGAGCAAUAUAGCGGGACUCAGUCUUUU